rnacentral:misc_RNA from 1 species
GAACGCAUAUUGCGCCCGCCAGCACUCUGGCGGGCAUGCCUGUUCGAGCGUCAUUUCAACCCUCAGGCCUCGUGUCUGGCGUUGGGGCGCUGCGGCCCUCCCGCAGGCCCCCAAAUUUAGCGGCGGACCCGUCCGGCACUGAGCGCAGUAGUUACCUAACUUUAACGCUCCGGCGGCCGUGGCGCGGUUUUGCCUCUCGCCCCAUAGCGCCAAUAGCGCCACUCCCAAAACGUUGACCUCGGAUCAGGUAGGACUACCCGCUGAACUUAAG